CCUACGGGUGGCAGCAGUGAGGAAUAUUGGUCAAUGGGCGAGAGCCUGAACCAGCCAAGUCGCGUGAAGGAUGACGGCCCUACGGGUUGUAAACUUCUUUUGUCAGGGAGCAAUUGGUUCCACGCGUAGGCUUAGCGAGAGUACCUGAAGAAAAAGCAUCGGCUAACUCCGUGCCAGCCGCCGCGGUAAUACGGAGGAUGCGAGCGUUAUCCGGAGUUAUUGGGUUUAAAGGGUGCGUAGGCGGAAUAUCUAGUCAGCGGUAACAAUUCGGAGCACCACCCCGUCGUGCCGUUGAAACUGAUGUUCUUGAGUGGGCGAGAAGUAUGAGGAAUGCGUGGUGUAGCGGUGAAAUGCAUAGAUAUCACGCAGAAAUCCGAUUGCGAAGGCAGCAUACCGGCGCAAACUGACGCUGAAGCACGAAAGCGUGGGUAUCGAACAGGAUUAGAUACCCUUGUAGUC
rnacentral:rRNA from 1 species